rnacentral:rRNA from 1 species
GACAGAUCCCUUCGGGGUGAAGAUGAAAUGGAUUAGCGGCGGACGGGUGAGUAACACGUGAGUAACCUGCCUUAGACAUUGGGAUAGCCUCGGGAAACCGGGAUUAAUACCAAAUGAAAUCACAUAUGCACAUGCAUAAAUGAUCAAAGCUCCGGCGGUCUAAGAUGGACUCGCGUCCCAUUAGCUAGUUGGUGAGGUAACGGCCCACCAAGGCGACGAUGGGUAGCCGGCCUGAGAGGGUGAACGGCCACAUUGGAACUGAGAAACGGUCCAAACUCCUACGGGAGGCAGCAGUGGGGAAUAUUGCACAAUGGAGGGAACUCUGAUGCAGCGACGCCGCGUGAACGAAGAAGGCUUUCGAGUCGUAAAGUUCUUUUAUAUGGGAAGAUAAUGACGGUACCAUAAGAAAAAGCCCCGGCUAACUACGUGCCAGCAGCCGCGGUAAUACGUAGGGGGCUAGCGUUGUCCGGAAUCACUGGGCGUAAAGGGUUCGCAGGCGGAAAUGCAAGUCAGGUGUAAAAGGCAGUAGCUUAACUACUGUAAGCAUUUGAAACUGCAUAUCUUGAGAAGAGUAGAGGUAAGUGGAAUUUUUAGUGU